rnacentral:rRNA from 1 species
AUUGAACGCUGGCGGCAUGCCUUACACAUGCAAGUCGAACGGCAGCACGGGAGCAAUCCUGGUGGCGAGUGGCGAACGGGUGAGUAAAGUAUCGGAACGUGCCCAGUCGUGGGGGAUAACGUAGCGAAAGUUACGCUAAUACCGCAUACGAUCUAGGGAUAAAAGCGGGGGAUCGCAAGACCUCGCGCGAUUGGAGCGGCCGAAAUCAGAUUAGGUAGUCGGUGGGGUAAAGGCUCACCAAGCCGACGAUCUGUAGCUGGUCUGAGAGGACGACCAGCCACACUUGGACUGAGACACGGCCCAGACUCCUACGGGAGGCAGCAGUGGGGAAUUUUGGACAAUGGGCGAAAGCCUGAUCCAGCCAUGCCGCGUGCAGGAUGAAGGCCUUCGGGUUGUAAACUGCUUUUGUACGGAACGAAAAGGUUUGGGCUAAUAAGCUGAGCUCAUGACGGUACCGUAAGAAUAAGCACCGGCUAACUACGUGCCAGCCGCCGCGGUAA